UACGAAGGGGGCUAGCGUUGCUCGGAAUCACUGGGCGUAAAGCGCACGUAGGCGGACUCUUAAGUCGGUGGUGAAAUCCUGGAGCUCAACUCCAGAACUGCCUUCGAUACUGGCGAUCUUGAGUCCGGAAGAGGUGAGUGGAACUCCUAGUGUAGAGGUGGAAUUCGUAGAUAUUAGGAAGAACACCAGUGGCGAAGGCGGCUCACUGGUCCGGUACUGACGCUGAGGUGCGAAAGCGUGGGGGAGCAAACAGG
rnacentral:rRNA from 1 species